rnacentral:snRNA from 1 species
AUCGCUUCUCGGCCUCUCAAGGCUAAGAUCAAGUGUAGUAUCUGUUCUUAUUGGUUUAAUAACCAAUAUGUCUCACAUCGCCAAUAUGUCUCACAUCGUGGGACUUAUCUAUUAAACAUAUUUUUGUUUGGAGGAGUCAGAUUACGAGCUUGCUCUGUCUGUUCCACGCAUUGUCCUGGUAUUGCAUUAUCUCCAGGAUCAGUGCAGGGGGG